CAGUAGCCACGGGAAUACAGAGGGUGCGAGCGUUAAUCGGAUUUACUGGGCGUAAAGCGUGCGUAGGCGGCUUCUUAAGUCGGAUGUGAAAUCCCUGAGCUUAACUUAGGAAUUGCAUUCGAUACUGGGAAGCUAGAGUAUGGGAGAGGAUGGUAGAAUUCCAGGUGUAGCGGUGAAAUGCGUAGAGAUCUGGAGGAAUACCGAUGGCGAAGGCAGCCAUCUGGCCUAAUACUGACGCUGAGGUACGAAAGCAUGGGGAGCAAACAGGAUUAGAUACCCGUGUAGUCCCUGUCUCUUAUAC
rnacentral:rRNA from 1 species